CCGGAUCUUGCGGCGACUGGAGACUGCUGGAGGCACAUGCAACUAGGGUUGCUGCUUCUGAACAUUUGCUUUGGGCUAUGCUGAAAACGGGCUAGGGUAGAACCUAGAUUUUGGGCCAGCUAAUGAUAUUGGGCUUGUAAAAAUGGACUCUUUAUUUGGGUUUUUACUCUCUGCUUUGGUUCAUUGUUUUUAGAAAUGGGCCCAGGCA
rnacentral:lncRNA from 1 species